GACCCCUGGCAGGAAUAUAGAGGUGAUC
rnacentral:piRNA from 1 species